UGCAUGGGGACCAGGCCAGGCACAACUGUGGGCACCUGGAGGAUGCCAGUGUCAUCUGCACAGGUGAUGGAUUAUUUGCAACCAUAGCCACAACAGAGGCUGUGACCCUGCCAUUCACACCCGUGCCCCCAGCAGGUGCUGAUUCCACAGCUGCUCUGCCUACAGCCCAUGAGAACCUGCUCCCCACAUCAUCGGUGGUAUCAGUGGCUCAACACCCACCAUCUUCUGCACC